GUCCCUGGGUCCCUCACCAGCCUGGGCCGUGCGGACCACAUCAGGCCCAUUGCACACUGUUUAACAGCCGGAGCGUCCUUAACAGGAUUUACAUCUAACAGCAUUACGGGUUCUUUCCAACCAGGCCUCACCAAUUCUGUCCUCAGCUCACCUACGAUGAGAAAGCAGAGCAUCUGUGCUGUUUCCUGAUUGUAUAAAAUACUGGGAAAUGCUGCCGCAGACUGGAAUCUCCAUCAGAUUGCCAGAUGUCCUGAAUAUCCAGAAUUCUGUCUUUGCCUUUCUCAUUUUACCUGGUAUCUGGGGGUAAAUGAGACUUAGAGCCUCACAGAGCAGACUGAUGGAUGGGGCUGCUGGUCCCUUCCUUUACGUUUGCCAUCCACGUUGCAUUGGUUCACAGAAUUGCAGGGGUUGGAAGGGACCUCGAGAUGAUCAAGUCCCAUCCCCCUGCUAAAGCAGGCUCCCCGCAGUAGCUCUCACAGGGAGGCAUCCAGAUGCCCAGCAUGGAUUGAUUUCUGUCUGUGAAGAUUUCUUUCUUGAGGCUCUUCCUUGGAUCUGCACUUUCCGGUCUGUACCAAGGCUCAGACAGUGCACAGAUUUUGGGACAUAAUCCUGGUUUCUGGGGACUCAGCACUGAAAAUGCCUUUGUGCUGGAGGCAGCCUGCGUUUGGAGGUCAGGAGCAUCCAGGCCCCUUAUUUCAUCUGUACUGAGAACUUAAGCUCAUUCAAAACUCUCUGCUCUCCUUGCUUUGCUCAAACUCAACCAGUAUGUUUUAGCAGGUGUAUUUACUUCUUAAACAUAUUUGUUUAGUCUAUAAUUUCAUCGUGCCCCUGGUGUUGCCUUGCUGCCAGUGACUCACUGCUGGGAAGCAUCAACGCAGAGGGAUGGAGAAUGGUCUCGUGUUGAAGUUACUUAGCUGAGGUGCUUCCAAGAAUGAAAAAUGGUGUUUGAACAAAUGUGUUUUCAUCCGACCUUCAGUAAAUCUUCUGACUUCAUUUUUCCUCCUGCAAAUUAGGCUGACAUGCUGACCCAGUCAGGCAGCACAAGUGGGAUCCAGGUCCUCCCGUUGCUGAAGGAAGCGCCCAGGAACGAGGCUGCAGGAUUAAGGAGGAAGCGGAGGUUUUAAUGAAGCAGACUCCAUUCUUUGGUGGGGUGAAGGGAGCUGUCUCGUGGUGCCCUCUCGAGGUGGAGAGCUGCUCAUUUCAUUCACUGUUUAGAGCAGCUGGGAUGUGAACUGCAAGCGCAGCCCUUGCUGAAGAAGCUGAGAAAUCAGUUUGCUUUGGAAAAGAACCACUGCAGUAACUCCACGCAAAGUUGGUGGGUUCUGGAUUCCAUCUAAAAGUGCACACUGAUCCCUCUGCCUCCAACUUUUUUGUGAAAGCCAAAGGUGUUUCUCCCCUGUGUGAGAGCCGAUCAAAGUUAAAGGCUGCCUGCUUCCAUGAGGGCAGGGACACACUUCCCACAGUGUGCUCAUUUCCCUUGAAGUCUAGGAUAUGUUUGGGUAAUAAGGGGAUCCGAAACCUCGAUGCAUUAGGAAGGCCAGCCUCUGGCUUCAAGUUAAAUAGAGGGCCCUGUGCUUGUGGGAGAAAGCCUUGCAUGGCCUGGGAAGCUGAGCGGAGGGAUGCAAUCACUGCUGCUCUGUGAAGGACUACAAACUGCAGGCUUCCUGUUAACAGCAAUUAUCAGAUGAUUGGGUUGGAAACAUCUUUUGCCAUGCGACGGCAGAUUCUCCUUUCCAAAGGCCUCAUCUUAAAUCCAACAAGGAGUGAGGAUUAUCAGUGCCAUAAGUCCUUUAGAGUCAUUGAAUGCAUUACAUUUGUUUUGGACUGAGAUGGAUAGAAGCUGAGUGUUUUGGGGCAAGGACUCCAUCUGACAGAUGAGUAUGCUGUGGGUGCGUGCUGUUUUAUCAGUAGGCUGCCAUUCUGCUGCGUGGGAUAAAUUUCACCUGUGUCCACUUUGCUGUCACCUUUUCACAGGAUCUUUCUGAGUCAUCCCAGGCUACUCCCACCCAGUAUGGGUUAGACACAGGAGGCAACUGCUGGCUGUAUUUUGUCGAAGUCCUUUCAGACCUCCUGCCACACCAAAUUGUCCCAACAGCAGCACUCAUUGGAAGUCUGUUAUGUUCAUUGGACCAACAUUGUUUCAGCUGCACCCUUCAGGCCAGAUAGCCACAGAGGGCUUGAGAUGGCCAUGCUUUCAGAGCUAGGAGGCAGUGGAGGCUGUGGCUAACAGAGAAGGCAGCUCACACAGAUUAGGUGCAACAAAGUGGGCUGAUGAAUGCUGCACCUUAGCAAGUGGCCUUUUUUUCCUUCUGAUAGCAAGACAGCUGUGGUCUUCAGAGACACCUGGGGAACAAGAUUUCCUGAAGGGUUUUUCUUUUUUGGUCUGAUUUUCUUCUGCUUUUACUAUAGAAGGCAGACUUCAUGAACUACAGCACCUCCUCUGUCCAUCUUUUAUGUGCAGCUUGGUUUUAGAGGUUAGAAGGUUUUUCAUCCAUUGAUUUUGUGCUCAUCAUGGAUAUGUUUUAAAAACACUCUUAAAAAAAAAAGUCCCCGCUUCUCAUGGAUAAAUUUUGAUGGGGAUGAUGGGAAAUAAAUGUAAACAACUGCUGAAUGACAUGCGGAAUCUGAUAGCACAAAUCCCCUCUGCAGAGCUGUAAAUUGACUCAAAGCUCCUGUUGUGUGGAAAAGAACUCUUGGGCCCAACGAGGGGUAAGAUGUUAAUAAAACCUUUGUUCACUGCUACAAUAGGGAGCAGCUAAAUGUGGUUUGGGGUUUCUGCCAAGUUAACCCUGACUUAUUCCCAUUGUCAGAAGUACUGCUAAGAAACCCUUUAAUGUGUUAUUAAGGGUGAAAUAUGAAAAAUAGUAUUUUUCAUUUCCAAUGCUCUGUUUAAAGCAGAAGUGUUCAUUGUAAGAACAUCCUUUAUUCCCUUUCCCCCUGCUACACUCAGUGCUUUAAAGAAAAUUCACAUUUUGUGUGGCACUAAUUUUCUUCUUGUUGGAAAAAGAAGUUGCUUAUGUGGUCUGAAACUGCCACCAUCUUUAAUAUGGCCAGAGUCUUAUUUAAGAUGAAAGUGCAGGUGUUCUGAGCCCCUAAACACAUGCUGACCUGGCUUACUUGAUCGUUCCUUUGCCUGUGGCCUGUUAGUCACUGCCCAUCCAUGGUCUCUUGCCCUGUUCUCAGCUCCUUAGGUCAGGAUGCAUGUGCAGUGCAUUCAGAUCCAUGCACAGGUUUGCAAUGGUAACUCAAAUAAUAAUCAAGUUGUGAAAAAUAAGACAGUAUGCAUUUCAACAAGUUCAAUUUUUAUUUCUCCAGUGAAGAAAGGUGAGAGAAAGAAAGCUUCUGUCUGCAGUCCUGCCCUUUAUUUGCAACUGCGCUGCUAGGGAUUCAGAGGCUGUAGAAGGCAGCAUUUCGAUGUAUCUCCACUAGAGGCCAAGCAUGGUGUGAUGACACCUGGUGUCAUCUUGGCAACCAGGGAAAAAAUAAAGGAGGUGGAAGGUCUAAGCUGGGCGCUCUGGUGGAGCCAAGGUGUCUUGGGAGCUGAGUGCACAGAGCUCCAGCCAUACGUUUAAAAGCAGCCUGGUGUCACAGCCACAUUCCUUCCAGCCCUCAUACCUUUCCUUGCCCUCUGUGCCACCCACUCAUCUGAGGAAAGGUGGCAUCUAACCAAAACACACUUUUGGUGCUUUCAAUUAUAAAUCUUUACUCCAUUCUCAAAACGUUUCCACUUGUUUUCUUGGCAGGACCUUGAGGAUCUCUCUUGAGAGUUCCGUUCACGUAGAUACGCACAAAAGGAACAGUUUAUCUCCAGCUCCUGCUGACUUCCAUGAAUAAUUUGUUGUAAAAGCUAAGUUGGACUUCUGCAGUCUUGAGUAACUUUGGAGUACCAGUUUCUAAUAUUCCAGCCACAGACCUAAGCAGCCUUUCUACUUUUAGAGGCCAAAGCGGCCUCUCUGAUCUCCACUUAUCUGUAACCACCUUGGAAAUUUCCACUCCUUUUCCCUCCUUUUGGGUUCCCCAUAAAACCAAGAGCUCCUCACUGGCAGAACUUCCCUUCUGAAUUAAAACUUAAACAAAGAUUUGAUGGAACGUGAUCUUUACUGUUUCUUCUUCAUCUCUCAAAGUGCAUGCCAGGAAAUACUGUGCUGACAUAGGAAGGUGGGCAGCUGUUUUACAGGGUGUAUUCAUACACCCAGUCUCACUGAAGGCAAACAGAAUUGCUUAUCUGAGUAAUGCCACACAUGUGCCUGAGUGAUUGCAAAGGACUGAAAGGAGUUGGGAGUAGAA